rnacentral:rRNA from 1 species
UACGUAGGGAGCAAGCGUUGUCCGGAAUCAUUGGGCGUAAAGCGCGCGUAGGUGGCCUCAUAAGUCCGCUGUGAAAGUCAAAGGCUCAACCUUUGAAAGCCGGUGGAUACUGUGGGGCUAGAGUACGGAAGAGGCGAGUGGAAUUCCUGGUGUAGCGGUGGAAUGCGCAGAUAUCAGGAGGAACACCAAUAGCGAAGGCAGCUCGCUGGGACGUUACUGACACUGAGAGACGAAAGCUAGGGGAGCGAAUGGG